rnacentral:rRNA from 1 species
UACGUAGGGACCAAGCGUUGUUCGGAUUUACUGGGCGUAAAGGGCGCGUAGGCGGCAAUUCAAGUCAGUUGUGAAAUCUCCGAGCUUAACUCGGAACGGUCAACUGAUACUGCUUUGCUAGAGUACAGAAGGGGCAAUCGGAAUUCUUGGUGUAGCGGUGAAAUGCGUAGAUAUCAAGAGGAACACCGAUGGCGAAGGCAGGUCUCUGGGCAUUAACUGACGCUGAGGAGCGAAAGCAUGGGGAGCGAACAGG